AAACUAUUCCACACUCCUUGAGAUAAUCGUGGAAUUCAAGACUUAGGUACUCUCCUCCUCGAUCGGAUCGAAGCAUCUUGAUUUUCCUGCCCAAUUGAUUCUCCACUUCAUUCUUGAACUCUUUGAACUUUUCAAAGGUUUCUGACUUUUGCUUGAUUAAGUAGAUAUACCCAUAUCUACUAUAGUCAUCGGUAAAAGUCACAUAGAAGCGGUUCCCAUCCUUCGUGGUUGAUCUAAACGGUCCACAUACAUCGGUAUGUAUUAGGUCCAAUAGACCCUCGCCCCUUUCACAUGUACUCGUGAAGGGUGACUUAGUCAUCUUUCCAAGCAAACAAGACUCGCAUGUGUCAUCUUCCCUAAGGUCGAAUGACUCCAACACUCCAUCCUUUUGGAGUUGGGCUAUGCGUUUCUUGUUGACAUGUCCAAGACGACAAUGCCACAAGGAUGAUUUAUCCAUACCAUUGGAAGAAUCCAUGCAUAAAACAUCAUUUCCUAGGUUAUCUACAAUCAUAACAGUUUCAUAAAUUCCAUUACAUGGUAUUGCUUCAAAAUAUAAGACACCAUUUAGAUAAGCACAAAUAGAACCAUUCUCAUUAUUAAAAGAAAAUCUAAAUCCUUGUCUAAACAAACCAUGAAAUGAAAUGAUGUUUCUUGCGAUUUUUGGCGAAUAGCAACAAUUGUUCAAAUCUAAACUUAAACCAUUCCUAAGCACUAAAGAAUACACUCCAAUCUUGGUCACAGGCGACGAUCUUCUGUUCCUCAUGAUUAGAUUUAUUCUUCCAGCCUCCACAUCCCUAUUUCUUCUUAGUCCCUGCACAUUAGAAUAAAUGUGGUAACCACAACCGGUAUCAAGAACCCAAGAAAUAGCAUGAGAUGAAUCAUUAGAUUUAAUUAUGUAUAUAUACCUGCAGGUAGUAUGGGCAGCUUCUCUUCCAAUGCCCUAUUUUAUGGCAGUGGUGGCACUCUGCCUCCUUUGGGUUAGGGUUAGGCUUAGCGGGAUCAACUUUGGUCCCACUAGAAGAGGCACCAUCUCGGGCUUNGACUCUUAGACGGAGCCUUCCUCUUCUUGCCUCUUCCUUGCCUAAUGGCCAAAACAGGAGCAGCGGGUGGAUUGGGAGUGGGUGCAACAGACUUGUCCUUGAGGUUGCUCUCAGCAACCCUAAGGAGACCUUGGAGCUUACUUAGGGUGACCUCUUCCUUAUUCAUGUGGUAGGUCAUCCUAAAUUGAUUGUAACAUGGAGGCAAGGAGUGAAGCACCAUGUCGAUUGCCAAUUCUUCCCCAAAGUCAACAUUCAUCUUGCGAAGACGAUCGACAUACUUUUGCAUCUUUUGCAGGUGAACGGUUAGAGAUUCUCCAUGACCCAUUUUAGCGGAGAUCAUGUUGGUGCAGAUCUCGUAACGUUCUUGCCUCGCGUUUUGGUGGUAUCUCUCCAACAAGUCUUGGUGCAUUUCGUACAGAUACAUGUCCUCGUAGGACUUUUGGAAUUCAACGUUCAUUGUGGCUAUUAUGACGCAAUGAACCUUUGUCGCAUCACGUUCAUGAGUCUCAAAAAGCAGUCAUUUCAGCCGGAGUAGCGAUUUAUGGGUUGAUCUUCUCGAGCUUCUCAUCGAGGACAUACUCCUUGUCCUCAUAGUGAGAAAUCGUGUGAAUGUAUCUUAUCCAUUCGCUAAAGUUCGUACCAUCAAAAGUCACCUUUUGGCAAAGGCUCAUCAAUGUGAACGAACUAGCAACAGCGUUGUUCACGUUCGACAUCUACAAAUAGAAAGGACAAAGAUAGAUUAGAAUUUGAAUCCCUAAUUAUCACCCAAUAAGAAAAAUUAGGGCUAGGAUCCAACAACAAUAUUUACAUAUUAGAAAAGGGAUGUCGUAAUCCAACAUGCAAACAAUUUGAAGGUAAGUGAAUGACGAUUCACUAAUUCUCCACCAUGAAAACCUAACUUUAAGUUCUAAAUGUAUUGAGAAUUCCUAGGUUUGGAUGAGAUUCAUUGAAACUUUUCAAUGGCAUGUUUAAAUCUCGAUAUGCCCCUCUCGUUUGUGACUGGGAUACCGAGGAUCACAAAGUGGGUGUGAAUUACCAUGCAAAUUCACAUGGUGCCUUCAUUGUAACAAUCACCUAUUCGAUGUGCCGGUAAACCACACACGCUCCAUCGAACUAUGAUAAACAAUGAAUCACCCUUUGCCACCUUUGCUUAGAACCAAUUAGUGUGCCGGUAAACCACACACGCUCCACUAACUUCUUAGCAAGGGUGCAAAGUGUAAUUUCAUGGGAUUGCAUCAAUUCACUUUUCCUAAAGUAACUAAGAUUGGGAAUUUUUUNNNNNNNNNNNNNNNNNNNNNNNNNNNNNNNNNNNNNNNNNNNNNNNNNNNNNNNNNNNNNNNNNNNNNNNNNNNNNNNNNNNNNNNNNNNNNNNNNNNNNNNNNNNNNNNNNNNNNNNNNNNNNNNNNNNNNNNNNNNNNNNNNNAUAUUAAUCUUGUAAUAUUAUAUUAGUAUAGGGUUGAAUUUUAAACUUGUAAAAUUCUAGGGUUUGAAAUUUAACUUUGUCUAAAUUAAACUUUUAAUCACAAAACAUAAAUUUCAAAACUUGAGGGCAAGUUUUAAACUUUUCAAAACAUAGGGGAUCAAAUAACAAAUAAUCUAAAUUAACAUUUAAUCACAUAAUUAUCCAUAUUUGAUUUAUUUAAUUAUUUCUUGCAAAACAAUUUACCAAUUAAUUUAAAAUAAUUAUUCAAUUAUCAUAUAAGGAAAUUAAUAUUUAAUUAAUUGAUAAAUAUCUUCAAUUAGGUCAAGAAUAUACUCAAAUAUAUCAUAAAAUCGGAUUUAUAUUGACCUAUUAAGAUUAUGGUAAGUAUCCACAAGAUAAACAACAAGAAAUCCCGAAAUUAGCUCUUUCUGACGCUCGGACUCGCCAACUACCUCAAUGGACUCGCCAAGUUGAGCCUACUCGCCGAGUCCACCAGGCAGACACAUAAAAAUCGAAUUUUGCAAGCAACAAACAAGCAGCCAAUGCAUCAAUUCAAUAGAAACCAAUCUAGGCUCUGAUACCACUGAUGGGUUUUAGCUAUAUGAACAUUCCUAUGUGCACAUACAAACCCUAAUGCUUGGAUCUAGGUUGCUCUAAUUGAGCAUGCAUUGAAUCAAAGACUUCUAAUGACUAUUAGAGUAUAAUAACAUAAGAAAUUAGAUUUGAAAGAUUACUUUGAAUCACUUGCUUGAAUCUUCUUGUCCUUGGAGCUUUUAGAGUCACAAUUGUCACUCCUCUAAUGGCUUACAAACACCAACUAGCAAGAGGAUGAUUAUAGAGAGAGGAGCUAGAAAUCGUCUAGGGUUUCUUUAGAGACAAGAGUGCCAAUUUCCCUUAACCCUUAGGGUCUAUUUUACUAGUGAGGCUCCUAGGGUUUCACCCUUAAACCCUAAUUGGAUAACUUAUCCCUAAGCAAUCCAAUACCCUAAUGAUAAGCCUUGGACGAUUUUAAGGCCUAUCCUAAGCCCUCAAAACCGUCCCCCCUUAUCCAUAAGGGAUUAUAGCCCAAAGUACAACUAUCAUACAAUUGAUAGUUUAUGCCCUUUUAUUCAAUUAAUCUCUUUAAGUCACCAAAUUAAUUUCUAAUUAAUUUAUGACUUAUAUUAAUUAAAUAAUAAUAUUAUUAUUCCUUAUAUUAUUCUCAUAAUAUAUUAAUAAUAUUUCUUUUCUCAUUAUAAAUCAUCCUGUCAAGUUGCUAUGGUGAAGGCAACCCAAAAGGACCAUGCGCAAUCGGGUCAAAUACUUUGCUAAUAUAGUUUUAGCCUUAGACACUAUUCCAACAAAACUACCUUUCCUGAAACCAUGGUCUGUUCCCUGCCCCACUUGUUUAUCACUUGCUCUAAUCAUGCCACACUCUCGGCUAACAACACUGUUGGAUCCAAUAUUUUAGUUAAAAUACCCAUUCGGAUCCAUUCUCGAUCCCAAAAUGGAGUAUUACCUGAUCCAAGAAGAUGAAACCUCGGAGACACUCCGAACGGAUGAGAUCACCAAGAUUCUUUGAACUCCGUCCGACCCCUAAUAAUAACUUCCGGUCAACCAAGAUACACCGGAGUCCUCCACCUACUCUAGCAGCAUGCUCAAAACGUGGAACAGACCUAUUGAGUGCUAAAGCGUAGCAGCCUAUUCAAUACCCGAACAUAGAUCUACAAACAUAGACAGAGUCUUCAGCAUAACUGGACCGCCUUACCAGGCCUUCAAUCAAUCGCCCACCUUCUUGGAAAUCCAAGGUCUGUUCCUUGGCCCGCGUGUCUACCAUACACGCUAAAUAACCCGCACUGCCGUGCUGAAUGCACUGUUGAGCCCUGACAUCUAACAAAACCCUUAACCUAUCAAUCCAAAACCCACAGAGUCGAGCACACCCUCGACUGAAAACUCGAACUGAACCCGAUUCUUGACUAGGACCCCAACAUGGUUACCCAACUUCUGCUAUCAAGCAUCCAGAAGACGUGUUCUUAUGCUGGGGAGUUUUGCCGACUCCCAAACAACACGACCCUUAACAAAGCAGCCAAUAGGGCCUCUGUUCUCCCUGUCGGGUUGUGAAACUUAUCCCCAUUUCAAAAGCUUUCCACUUCAGCAUCUCAGGGUAACACUGAUGAGUUUUAAGCCAUAAGAACUUUCCUAUGUGCGCAUGCAAAACCCUAAUGCUUGGAUCUAGGUUUUCUAAUUAAACAUGCUUUGAAUCCAAGACUUCUAAUGACUAAUUAGGUAUAAGAACAAUACAAAAUCAGAUCUAGAAGUUUACCUUUGAAUCUCUUGUUUGAUCUUGUUGUCUUGGAGCUCUAGAGUCACAAUUGUCACUCCUCUAAUGGCUUACAAACACCAACUAGUAAGGAGGAUGAUUUGAGAGAGAGGUUGGGAAGAAAUUGGCCAGGGGUUCUUUUCUUUAGAAGAGAUGCCGAUUUCACAUGCCCUAAGGGUCUAUUUAUACUUGUAGACUCCUAGGGUUUCACCCUUAAACCCUAGCUGGAUAAUCUUUCCUUAAAGCAAUCCAAAUCCUUACCUAAGAUAAGCCUUGGACGAUUUUGAGGCUAUCCCAAGCCCUAGAAUCCGUCCAACCCUUAUCCCUUAAGGAUUUACAGUCUAAAGUGUAACUAUCAAACAAUUGACAGUUUAUACCCUCUUAUUUAAUUAAUCUCUUUAAGUCACCAAAUUAAUAGUAAUUAAUUUAUGACUUAUAUUAAUCAAAUAACAAUAUUAUUAUUCCUUAUAUUAUUCUCAAAAUAUAUUAAUAAUAUUUAUUCUCUCAUAAUAAAUCAUCCUAUCAAGUUGCUAUGGUGAAGGCAACCCAAAAGGACCAUGCACAAUCGGGUCAAAUACUUGCCUAAUAUAGUUGCAGCCUUAGACACUAUUCCAACAGUCUCCCACUUGGAUAAGUCUAGUAACUAUAUGCACAAGUACAAUCCGAUUUGCAAUCGUAGCUCUCAAAGACGUUGUCAAACUCUGAUCUAAUCAAUCUUGUCCUUUAGAUAAGGGAUCGUACAGUCCUCUGUUAGAUAUCAUGCUGACAAUUCUAUGGAAUGAUUAGUCAAGCAUUUAGGUUUCUCGAUCUCCGAUUUAUUUGACAUAGAACUUAAUCGAACACAUCAAUUCAGUUCUGACCGGGCCCGGCACAUAAGUCAAAUCAAAUCAUCGAGCGGCCGAGAUAUCGCUUUUACCUUCUUAGGAUAAAAGUUACAGAUAAACUUCGACUUAUAUGCAUUUACUUAUUCAUUAAUCAACUAUACACAACAAUGCGUUUUAUAACACCGAGUUACUGAUGCGUUUUCGCAUUAUCAAUGUACAAUCAAUUAACAAAUAACAAACCAUAUAUCUAGGUUUUAAGACUAUAUGAUAUUAUCGUCUUGCGAUCACCCUUUUAUAUCAUAUUCCAUAAGGUGAUUCCAGCAAGCGCGGGUUUGUUCCAAUGCUCAAAACUAGUUCAUAAGCACUCAUGAACGUUGCAGCAACCCUUUGCUAUGUCUAACACCAUUUAGACAAUCUACACACCAAUUCAUGACAAUCUUCAUUCAUAUCUACUUCCAACAUAUGAACGAUUGUGGACAAUUUGAACAAUUCGAUUAUUCCUAAUAAACUCAAUUAUUCUGGAAGUCAAAACAUGCAAAGUGAAACAAUAGUUAAACAAUUAACAUAAGAUAGUAACAUUACUCAUAAAUAAAACUCCUUUAUUUAAUCAUCAAAUGUUAAUUACAUUUAUCUAUUACACGUUUCUAAUACUAUCUAAUCUAUGCUAAUAUCAUCCUUCAGCCCAAUACUCCUAGCAUGCUGCAAGUGCUUAACCCUACUCAGUCCCUUCGUAAGCGGAUCUGCUGGGUUAUCUUCUGAUGAUAUCCUCUUCACUACGAGUUGUCCUUCUUCUACACGAUGUCUAAUGAAGUGAUAUUUUCUGUCGAUAUGUCUUGAUCUACCAUGAUCCCUCGGUUCCUUGGUCAAGGCAACCGCUCCUUCGUUAUCACAGAAAAUCUCCAUGGGCUCCUUUAUGGCAGGUACAACUCCAAGAUCACCGAUGAAGUUCUUUAGCCAUAUUGCCUCCUUCGACGCUUCGCUCGCUGCAAUGUACUCUGAUUCGCACGUUGAAUCAGCUACGGUUUCCUGCUUGGAACUCUUCCAUGUCACUGCUCCUCCAUUUAGGGUAAAGACCCAGCCCGACUGCGAACGGUAGUUGUCCCUGUCGGUCUGAAAACUGGCGUCACUAUACCCUCGCACCUUCAAGUCAUCACUCCCUCCGAGGACUAAGAACCAUUCCUUCGUCCUCCGAAGGUACUUAAGGAUAUUCUUCACCGCAAUCCAAUGUGCUCUGCCAGGAUUCCCUUGAUAUCUGCUAACCAUGCUCAAAGCGAAGGCUACAUCAGGGCGAGUACAAGUCAUAGCGUACAUGAUUGAGCCAACUGCGGAAGCGUAUGGUACUCGGCUCAUUUCUGCUAUCUCAGCUUCGGUACUCGGACUUUGAGUCUUACUCAAUUUGGCAUUACUUUGUAUCGGUAGUUCUCCCUUCUUUGAGUUUUCCAUACUAAAACGUUUUAGUACCUUCUCUAAGUAAGUAUUCUGACUAAGUCCAAUUAGUCUCUUACUUCUUUCUCUUACUAUCCUUAUUCCCAAAAUGUAAGAAGCCUCUCCGAGGUCCUUCAUAGCGAAGCACUUCCCGAGCCAGGACUUAACCUCCUGCAGAGUCGGGAUGUCGUUUCCUAUGAGUAAUAUGUCAUCGACAUAUAGAACGAGGAAGCUUACUAUACUCCCACUGGCUUUGACAUAUACACAAGAUUCGUCUUCGCUUCGUACAAAUCCAAACUCUUUGACUUUCUCAUCGAAGCAAAGAUUCCAUCUGCGAGACGCUUGCUUAAGUCCAUAAAUGGACUUCUCAAGCUUACACACUCUAUUCGGAUGCUUCGGAUCCACAAACCCCUCUGGCUGAGCCAUGUAAACAUCCUCAGCCAACUUUCCGUUAAGGAAAGCGGUCUUGACAUCCAUUUGCCAAAUCUCAUAAUCAUGAAAUGCGGCAAUUGCUAGCAUCACUCUAAUAGAUUUAAUCUUCGCAACUGGUGAGAAGGUCUCAUCAUAGUCAACUCCGGGAGUUUGAGUAAAGCCCUUCGCAACCAAUCGCGCUUUAUAUGUGUGUACGUUUCCAUCCACGUCGGUCUUCUUCUUGAAGAUCCAUUUGCACCCAACGGUCUUACGUCCGGGCACAUAAUCAACCAAAUUCCAAACUUGGUUAUCAUACAUGGAUUGGAUCUCGCUAUCCAUUGCCUCUUUCCAUUUUGCAGACUCCGGGCCUGCCAUGGCUUCCUUAUAGCUAUUAGGUUCAUCAAGAUUUAUUAGUGUACCAUCACUAAUAUACGUGUCCCCUUCGGUAGUAAUAUGAAAACCAUAAAACUGGGGUUGAACUCUAACUCUAUCGGAACGUCUAAGAGGUAAGGAUUCGUCAAUCGGUUCAACCGGAGUUUCCUCCUCGGGUUGAGUGCCAGCGGUAGAGGUUCCUUCAUCUAUCGACUCUUGAAUCUCUUCAAGCUCGAUUUGCCUCCCACUGUCUCCUUGGCUUAUGAGUUCUCGCUCUCGGAAAACUCCUCUCCUCGCAACGAAGACAACAUUGUCCUUCGGUCUAUAGAAGAGAUAUCCAAAGGAUGUCUGCGGGUAGCCGAUGAAAAUACAUCGCUCACUUCGAGGUUCAAGCUUGUCGUGAGUAUCUCGUCUUACGAAAGCCUCGCAACCCCAAACCUUGAUAUGUGCCAACGAGGGAGCUUUCCCUGUCCACAUCUCGUGAGGUGUUUUGGCAACCUUCUUAGUAGGGACUCGGUUAAGGAUAUGGGCGGCAGUCUCUAAGGCAUACCCCCAAAAAGAGAUAGGUAGUGAAGCACGACUCAUCAUAGAGCGAACCAUAUCCAAUAAGGUUCGAUUACGCCUUUCUGCCACACCAUUCAACUGCGGUGUCCUAGGAGGCGUCAAUUGUGAAACUAUUCCACACUCCUUGAGAUAAUCGUGGAAUUCAAGACUUAGGUACUCUCCUCCUCGAUCGGAUCGAAGCAUCUUGAUUUUCCUGCCCAAUUGAUUCUCCACUUCAUUCUUGAACUCUUUGAACUUUUCAAAAGUUUCUGACUUUUGCUUGAUUAAAUAGAUAUACCCAUAUCUACUAUAGUCAUCGGUAAAAGUCACGUAGAAGCGGUUCCCAUCCUUCGUGGUUGAUCUAAACGGUCCACAUACAUCGGUAUGUAUUAGGUCCAAUAGACCCUCACCCCUUUCGCAAGAACCAGCGAAGGGUGACUUAGUCAUCUUUCCAAGCAAACAAGACUCGCAUGUGUCAUCUUCCCUAAGGUCGAAUGACUCCAACACUCCAUCCUUUUGGAGUUGGGCUAUGCGUUUCUUGUUGACAUGUCCAAGACGGCAAUGCCACAAGGAUGCUUUAUCCAUACUAUUGGAAGAAUCUAUGUUCAAAACAUCAUUUCCUAAGUUAUAAACAAUCAUAACAGUUUGAUAAAUUCCAUUACACGGUAUUGCUUCAAAAUAAAAGACACCAUUUAGAUAAGCUAAAAUAGAACCAUUCUCAUUAUUAAAAGAAAAUCUAAAACCUUGUCUAAACAAACCAUGAAAUGAAAUGAUGUUUCUAGCCAUUUAUGGCGAAUAGCAACAAUUGUUCAAAUCUAAACUUAAACCAUUCCUAAGCACUAAAGAAUACACUCCAAUCUUGGUCACAGGCGACGAUCUUCUAUUCCUCAUGAUUAGAUUUAUUCUUCCAGCCUCCACAUCCCUAUUUCUUCUUAGUCCCUGCACAUUAGAAUAAAUGUGGUAACCACAACCGGUAUCAAGAACCCAAGAAAUAGCAUGAGAUGAAUCAUUAGAUUUAAUUGUGUAUAUACCUGCGAAAGAUGGCUUGAUCUUUCCUUCCUUGAUGGCUUGCAGGUACUCUGGGCAGCUUCUCUUCCAAUGUCCUAUCUUGUCGCAGUGGUGGCACUCUGCCUCCUGUGGGUUAGGGCAUGGCUUAGCAGGAUCAACUUUGGUCCCACUAGAAGAGGAACCAUCUCGGGCUUUAACCUUGCGAUAGUUUUUAGACGAAGCCUUCCUCUUCUUUCCCUUUCCAUGUCCAAUAGCCAAGACAGGAGCAGCAUGUGUAUUGGGAGUUGGUGCAACAGACUUGUCCUUAAUGUUGCUCUCAGCGACUCUCAAGAGACCUUGGAGCUUGCUUAGAGUGACCUCUUCUUUGUUAAUGUGGUAGGUCAUCCUAAAUUGAUAUAAGCUUGGAGGCAAAGAGUGAAGCACCAUGUCGAUUGCCAAGUCUUCCCCAAAGUCAACAUUCAACUUGCGAAGGCGGUCGACAUACCUUUGCAUCUUUUGCAGGUGCACGGUAAGAGACUCUCCAUGACCCAUCUUAGCGGAAAUCAUGUUAGUGAAAAUCUCAUAAUGCUCUUGUCUCACGUUUUGGUGGUAUCUCUCCAAUAAGUCUUGAUGCAUCUCGUACGGGUACAUGUCCUCAUAGGACUUUUGGAAUUCGGAGUUCAUAGUGGCUAUCAUGAUGCAAUGUACCUUCGUUGCAUCGCGCUCAUGAGUUUCAAAAGCGGUAUUUCAGCCGGAGUAGCGAUUUUAGGGUUAAUUUUCUCAAGCUUCUCAUCGAGGACAUACUCCUUAUCCUCAUAGCGAUCAAUGGUGCGAAUGUAUCUUAUCCAUUUGCUAAAGUUCGUCCCAUCGAAAGUGACCUUUUGACAAAGGCUCAUCAAUGUGAAAGAACUAGUAGCAGCGUUGUUUGUGUUCGACAUCUACAAAUAGAAAGGACAAAGAUAGAUUAGAAUAUGAAUCCCUAAUUAUCACCCAAUAAGAAAAAUUAGGGCUAGGAUCCAACAACAAUAUUUACAUAUUAGAAAAGGGAUGCCGUAAUCCAACAUGCAAAUAAUAUGAAGGUAAGUGAAUG
rnacentral:lncRNA from 1 species